UUCCUUCAGGAAUAGCUUUCCUUUUGAAGGGAGAGUAUGAUAUUGUACGGAAUUUCAUCCUUUAUACCCUUCAAUUGCAGAGUUGGGAGAAAACCAUGGAUUGUCAUAGUCCUGGUCAAGGGUUGAUGCCUGCUAGUUUCAGCACUGUUCCCCUUGAUGGUGAUGAUUCUGCUACUGAGGACAUUUUAGAUCCUGACUUUGGUGAAGCAGCAAUUGGCCGAGUUGCACCAGUUGAUUCUGGAUUGUGGUGGAUUAUAUUGUUACGAGCUUAUGGAAAAUGCUCCGGAGAUCUUUCCGUGCAAGAGAGAGUUGAUGUGCAAACUGGGAUUAAAAUGAUUUUAAAACUGUGUCUUGCUGAUGGUUUUGAUAUGUUUCCAACGUUAUUGGUGACGGAUGGUUCUUGCAUGAUAGAUCGUCGCAUGGGAAUUCAUGGACAUCCAUUGGAGAUUCAGGCACUCUUUUAUUCAGCAUUACUUUGUGCACGUGAAAUGCUUGCUCCCGAGGAUGGAUCAGCUGACCUCAUUAGAGCUCUUAACAAUCGUCUAGUUGCGCUAUCUUUCCACAUAAGGGAAUACUAUUGGAUUGAUAUGAAAAAAAUUAAUGAGAUCUACCGUUACAAGACUGAGGAAUACUCAUAUGAUGCAGUCAAUAAGUUUAAUAUCUACCCGGAUCAAAUCCCUUCAUGGUUAGUGGACUUCAUGCCAAAUAGAGGAGGUUAUUUGAUUGGAAACCUGCAGCCUGCUCACAUGGACUUCCGUUUCUUCUCUCUUGGAAACUUAUGGUCUAUAAUAAGUAGUCUUGCAACGGUGGAUCAGUCACAUGCCAUAUUGGAUCUUAUUGAAGCAAAAUGGGCAGAUUUAGUGACUGAGAUGCCAUUCAAAAUAUGCUAUCCCAGUCUUGAGGGCCAGGAAUGGCGAAUUAUUACAGGCAGUGAUCCUAAGAACACUCCGUGGUCUUACCACAAUGGAGGUUCUUGGCCAACUUUACUCUGGCAGCUCACUGUGGCUUGCAUAAAGAUGAAUAGACCAAAGAUUGCAGAAAGAGCAGUUAAGCUUGCUGAGCGGCGCAUAUCUAGAGACAAGUGGCCAGAAUACUAUGAUACUAAGAAAGCAAGGUUUAUUGGAAAACAGGCUCGGCUAUUUCAAACCUGGUCAAUUGCAGGUUAUCUUGUUGCCAAGCUCCUUCUUGACAAUCCAAGUGCAGCAAGGAUCCUUGUAAAUGAAGAAGAUUCAGAGCUUCUAAAUACCCUUUGUGACAUGAUCAAUGCCAAUCCGAGGAGGAAACGUGGCCGGGUUGGAUUUAAGCAACCGUUCAUAGUAUGAUCUCAUACUGUGAAGUUCAAGAGAUGGUUCA
rnacentral:misc_RNA from 1 species